rnacentral:tRNA from 1 species
GGAAGUGUGCUCAGUGGUAGAGUGCCUGCUUAGCAAACAUGAGGCCCUGAGUUCAAAUCCCAAUACCACCA